rnacentral:rRNA from 1 species
AUUGAACGCUGGCGGCAGGCCUAACACAUGCAAGUCGGACGGUAACAGGAAGAAGCUUGCUUCUUUGCUGACGAGUGGCGGACGGGUGAGUAAUGUCUGGGAAACUGCCUGAUGGAGGGGGAUAACUACUGGAAACGGUAGCUAAUACCGCAUAACGUCGCAAGACCAAAGAGGGGGACCUUCGGGCCUCUUGCCAUCGGAUGUGCCCAGAUGGGAUUAGCUAGUAGGUGGGGUAACGGCUCACCUAGGCGACGAUCCCUAGCUGGUCUGAGAGGAUGACCAGCCACACUGGAACUGAGACACGGUCCAGACUCCUACGGGAGGCAGCAGUGGGGAAUAUUGCACAAUGGGCGCAAGCCUGAUGCAGCCAUGCCGCGUGUAUGAAGAAGGCCUUCGGGUUGUAAAGUACUUUCAGCGGGGAGGAAGGGAGUAAAGUUAAUACCUUUGCUCAUUGACGUUACCCGCAGAAGAAGCACCGGCUAACUCCGUG